UACGAAGGGGGCUAGCGUUGUUCGGAAUUACUGGGCGUAAAGCGCACGUAGGCGGAUUGUUAAGUCAGAGGUGAAAUCCCGGAGCUCAACUUCGGAACUGCCUUUGAUACUGGCAAUCUCGAGUCCGGAAGAGGUUAGUGGAAUUCCCAGUGUAGAGGUGAAAUUCGUAGAUAUUCGGAAGAACACCAGUGGCGAAGGCGGCUGUCUGGUCCGGUUCUGACGCUGAGGCGCGAAAGCGUGGGGAGCAAACAGG
rnacentral:rRNA from 1 species